UGGGGAAUAUUGGACAAUGGGGGGAACCCUGAUCCAGCCAUGCCACGUGUGUGAAGAAGGCCUUAUGGUUGUAAAGCACUUUAAGCGAGGAGGAGGGUACUGGUAUUAAUACUACCAGGUACUGGACGUUACUCGCAGAAUAAGCACCGGCUAACUCUGUGCCAGCAGCCGCGGUAAUACAGAGGGUGCGAGCGUUAAUCGGAUUUACUGGGCGUAAAGCGUGCGUAGGCGGCUAAUUGAGUCGGAUGUGAAAUCCCCGAGCUUAACUUGGGAAUUGCAUUCGAUACUGGUUAGCUAGAGUGUGGGAGAGGAUGGUAGAAUUCCAGGUGUAGCGGUGAAAUGCGUAGAGAUCUGGAGGAAUACCGAUGGCGAAGGCAGCCAUCUGGCCUAACACUGACGCUGAGGUACGAAAGCAUGGGGAGCAAACAGG
rnacentral:rRNA from 1 species